UUUUCUUAUAAAGAUUAUCCGAAAAUCAGUUUCUAAAAAUAAAAAUAACAAAAAAUAUAUUUUUCUUUUUUUUGUUUUUUCUUAAUUAUUUUUGUUAUGAACUUUACUACUACAAAAUAGUUACUUAAGUAGUAAAACACAAAAACAACAAAUCAUUGUGUUACGGCAUGUAACAGUCGCAAAAUGUCUGUUUUUUUUUUGUUUUCUCUUUUUUUUUUUACAAUUUCUUAUUGAUUAAACAUAAUGAAAAAUGGAUAAUAAAAGAGAAGAUAAAAAUAAAGAAUAUGAAAGUGUUUUAAAAGAUAGGAAGUUGAAAUAUGAAAAAUUAAAAAGAAAUAGUUUUACCAAUAACCGGUUUUUAUUAUCAAUAGUAGGCUUUAUAAAGUUUAUUUGGAAUUGCUUGAUAUCAACUAUAAACAUUCUACGCAUAUUUUUAAGAACUUUAUUCGGAUUAGCCGAUGACCCACAUAGAUUUAAAGGUAAGGGGGAUGAUGGCAAUGAUGAUAAUAAUGGUUUUGGUAAAAAAAAAAAAACAGGUAUUUUAAAAAAAACAAAAAUAGUGGAAUUAAAAAAUUAAAUUAACGGUUUUUUUUUUUUUUUUUUUUUUUUUUUUUUUUUUUUUUUUUUUUUUUCCGCUCAAAAAAAAAAAAUAAAAAUAAAAGAAACAUAUUUUCUUUUAAUAAA
rnacentral:lncRNA from 1 species